rnacentral:rRNA from 1 species
GAUGAACGCUGGCGGCGUGCCUAAUACAUGCAAGUCGAGCGAAAAGACGCGGCGCUUGCUCCUCUCACGUUAGCGGCGGACGGGUGAGUAACACGUGUAUCCCCUCCCUAUCUGACUGGGAUCACUUCGGGAAACCGGCGCUAAUCCCGGAUAAUCUAUUGCACCGCAUGGUUCAUUAGUGAAAUACGGCUUUGCUGGAACUUAUCGCUGGAUCCGCGCCGCAUUAGCUAGUUGGUACGUUAAAGGCUUACCACGGCAACGAUGCGUAACCGACCUGAGAGGGGGAUCGGCCACACGAGAAGGGAGACACGGUCCAGAGUCCUGCGGGAGGCAGCAGUAGGGAAUGGUCGGCAAUGGGCGAGAGCCUGACGGAGCAAGGCCGCGUGAGUGACGAAGGUGCUCGGAGCGGAAAACUCGGUUAUUAGGGGAGAACAAAUGUGGAAGUAACUAUGCACGUCUUGACGGUACCGAGUCAGAAAGCCACGGCUAACUACGUG